GAAGGAACUUCGUGGGAAGGACUUUCGAAGAAAAUCCGCAAUGUCUAAGUCAUGGAAACAAGACGGAAACUGAUGUGGGGCCCACAUCAUCGUCGCGUCACUCGCUAUAAAUGAAGAAGAGCUGAGUAGAGUACCUGCAAUCCCACGUACAAAGCGAAUUUCCAGGACUCGUGUCCGUGAGAGUAAAAACAAGUGAUCUCUGCUUCGGAUAUUUCUGUAAAAAAAGGGAAAGAGAAAUGGGCAGAAAGGAGAAAGAGGCUUUUGUGUUUCUGUUGUUGAUGCUGCUGCUGACAUUCCAAACCUGCUCGGCUGCAUCAAACACGCAGCAACCCAAGAGAAGGGAGUCUCUAUCAGUAUCAUCAUCUUCAUCAUCCAACAGUCCAGGUUCCUCCGUCUUCCCUAUCUUCGGGAAUGUAUACCCCGCCGGGUUAUACUACAUUAGCGUCAGCAUUGGAAAUCCGCCCAAGAAGUACUUCCUCGACAUCGACACAGGCAGUGACCUUACAUGGGUCCAAUGCGAUGCCCCUUGUGUCAGCUGCUACGAUGGUCCCCACCCACCUUACAAACCUGCGAGGAACAAGCUUGUCUUCUGUAAGGACCCCCUCUGUCCAGCCGUCCCCUCCCUCAUCCCUUAUACAUGCGAGGAGCCUCAUGAUCAAUGUGACUACCAGAUCACGUAUGCUGACGGUGGCUUCUCUGAUGGUGUCCUUGUGCGGGACACUUUCUCACUCCGCAUGUCCUCCGGCUCUCUCGCUCAACCCAGUCUAACUUUUGGAUGUGGAUACAACCAAGGAGGCUCCAGUUCAAUCUCCACUCGUAUGACUGAUGGAGUUCUUGGCCUUGGAAAUGGCAAAUCUAGUAUUUUAUCUCAGCUGCGAGGACUCAAUCUUGUAAGAAAUGUGAUUGGCCACUGUAUCAGCGGACAAGGUGGAGGAUAUUUAUUCUUCGGAGACAGCAUCAUACCUUCUUCAGGGGUGACUUGGACACCAAUGUCUCGCAAUCGAUUUCAAAAAUACUCUCCUGGUCCCAUGAAUAUCAUCUUUGGAAAGCAGCCUAUUGGUGUGAAAGAUCUUCUGGUUGUUUUUGACAGUGGAAGCACGUACACUUACCUCGCUUCGCGGCCUUACCAAGCAUUCGUCUCCACGUUGAAGAAAAGUUUAUCUGGAAAACCACUGAAAGAAGUGUCCGAAGACGAAGACGAAACACUUUCUUUGUGCUGGAAAGGUUCGAGAUGGUUCAAAUCUAUACUCGAAGUCAAGGAAUACUUCAAGCCCUUGAUUCUGAUCUUUGCAAAUGGCAAGAAAGCUACGCUGGAAAUACCUCUUGAAGGUUAUCUGAUCAUCUCAUGGCAUGGCAAUGUUUGCUUGGGGAUUCUGAAUGGCAGUGAAGCUGGACUGCAAGAUCUCAACGUCAUUGGAGACAUCUCGCUCCAAGAUCUCAUGGUAAUCUAUGACAACGAGAAGCAGAAGAUUGGAUGGGUUCGUGAAAAUUGCAAUAGGCUCCCCACAUCUGGAACCGCUUUCUUCUGAUUUCCUUCCUCUUAAGUUGACACGCACAGAGGAGAUUCUUAGCCUCUCUCUUAUGUUUAUCCAACACCACUGACGAUCACGGCGAUGAUGGCUUCAACCAUGGUUUUUCUCAGCCUUUAUGUUGCAGACAUGGGAAUCUUGACAGAUGAGCAUCCUGCAAGUUACCCUCCUGACCGAACCAAUACGGAUGGAGCAGAACAAUAAAGACAGGAGAUCCAUUCCUCUUUCUUAUUUUUGCAAAUUCAUAUGUAUACAUUCAUAAGUGCAUUAGGCAACGUGUAUUUAAGAUGUCUUUAUGAAAAGAAAUAAAUGUUGGGUAUGUUUCUAGCUAGCCCUGUCUAACUUCUAUAGCGAUGGUGAUAAAUGUGGUCUCGACCUCACAUCCCCGUAGGGAUGAGGAAAUAUGUGAUACAAGUAGAGUAUUAAUGAAUUGUUAUAAGUUGUAUGACUUUUUCUUUCUA